rnacentral:rRNA from 1 species
GACGAACGCUGGCGGCGCGCCUAACACAUGCAAGUCGAACGGAGCUGAGAGAAGCUUGCUUUUCUUAGCUUAGUGGCGAACGGGUGAGUAACGCGUGAGUAACCUGCCCUGGAGUGGGGGACAACAGUUGGAAACGACUGCUAAUACCGCAUAAGCCCACGAUCCGGCAUCGGAUUGAGGGAAAAGGAUUUAUUCGCUUCAGGAUGGACUCGCGUCCAAUUAGCUAGUUGGUGAGGUAACGGCCCACCAAGGCGACGAUUGGUAGCCGGACUGAGAGGUUGAACGGCCGCAUUGGGACUGAGACACGGCCCAGACUCCUACGGGAGGCAGCAGUGGGGGAUAUUGCACAAUGGGGGAAACCCUGAUGCAGCGACGCCGCGUGGAGGAAGAAGGUUUUCGGAUUGUAAACUCCUGUCGUUAGGGACGAUAAUGACGGUACCUAACAAGAAAGCACCGGCUAACUACGUG